GGAAUUGUUCGCAAUGGGCGCAAGCCUGACGACGCAACGCCGCGUGGAGGAUGAAGAUCUUCGGGUCGUAAACUCCUGUCGAAUGGGACGAAAGGGCUGCGGGUGAAUAAUCCGCGGCCGUGACGGUACCGCUAAAGGACACCCCGGCUAACCCCGGCACAGCAGCCGCGGUAAUACGGUGGGGGUAAGCGUUGUUCGGAAUUACUGGGCGUGAAGGGCUCGUAGGCGGCCAACUAAGUCGGACGUGAAAUCCCUCAGCUUAACUGGGGAACUGCGUCCGAUACUGGAUGGCUUGGAUCCGGGAGAGGGAUGCGGAAUUCCAGGUGUAGCGGUGAAAUGCGUAGAUAUCUGGAGGAACACCGGUGGCGAAGGCGGCAUCCUGGACCGGCAUUGACGCUGAGGAGCGAAAGCCAGGGGAGCAAA
rnacentral:rRNA from 1 species